UUAGCUCAUGAUAGAACAUUUAUAUAAACUUAUCCUAAUACACAAAAAAUCUUCAAGUUUAUUUUUAGUAUUGUGGUAUUUGAAUACCUGUUAUGUUUCACUUGUUUAAGUGUUUGUCUACUAGAAUUCCCUUACUCUGGGAUGUGGAGUAUUCCAGUUUUUGGUUUUAGUAAAGUCAUUCUAGGUUAUUAUUACAAAAAACAGAAAUGUCAAUAGCCUCCUAAGCCACAAUUUAAAAUAAUGUACUUUGGAUUAUCCUUUCGUUGGUCGCGUGGCUAAAUGUAACCAAAAAAUGCUUGGCUUUUGUAUAGCAUUCAGCACAAGUAUUUUUAUAGGAUGGUUAUUCCUAAGAUUUUUGCUACAACUGUUAUUAGUGGAAUAUAUUAAGUAGAUAGUAUUUAGAAUUUUAAGGGAUAAAACAUAACUUAGACAUUUUUUUCUGUUUUUGCUAUUGUGAUUACUUUCUAUUUCUUUUUUUUUUCUUUUAGUUCUUUUAUUCCCUUUAUUAAGUGCUGAGGAAAAAGACAGUAUGGAAUAACUUUUUUGGGUUGAAUUGUUAUAGAAAACUACAUGUGCCAAGUUUGGAAUUUGAUAAUGUUUGAGAAGAUAAGGGAGAUCAUUUACUGUGUAUGUAUGGAUUUUCUGAAGUUUUUUAUUUUUGGCACAUGGUUUGAAAAGUCCUGUUUCUUUAGGGUGAACUAAAGAAGACAAAUGAGGCUCUUUUUUUUUUGAAUAGCUACUUAGGUGAUAAUAAGAAAUUGCUAAUCAUGAAGACAGAAUGGAUGGGUUAGUAUAUUUUUAUAAGCUGUAAGGUAAUACAUAAGUAAAAUAUGUUUAUGGUCCGAGUGUCCAUAAAUGCCCUCCACUGUCGGAAGCCAUUGGCGUUUGUUGGCUUUUAAGGCAUGGCAAGUCUCUCUUGACACCUCUCUUCUACUAGUCCAGGAAACUGGUAUCAAAACAGUGUGUUGCUCCACUUGCCAUGUUAACAUUGGUGCUGUGGCUUCCUUUUUCCAGAUUCACCCCAAGAGAUGCAAGACAACAAGGUUUACUAGGUAUGAUUAUAUCUCAGGUCCUCACUAGCAUCUUUGUCAACUUGUAUUUUCAAAACUGACUCUUUCCUACUUGGAAUUUCCCCAUUGGUGAGCAAACUAAGAGAGCACUCACCUGUGUGGGUUAGAGAUUACUAGAAAG